UUCCUGCAACUUAUUCUUUUUUAUUCUUCCAUGCCCCUUGGCAAUCAUUAUUUCACCUGACCGUUUGAUCUUUCUUUUUUAACAUCUCGAAUGUGGUUCGCACGUGGCUGUUAGAUGAGAGGUGAACCAUGACAGGUAGUUCAAUCUUCCUAAGAAACCACGAACCUCUUUUUUCCUUUAUCAGUUCAGGCAUUUCUUUUUUUUC
rnacentral:lncRNA from 1 species